UACAGAGGUCUGCAAGCGUUGUUCGGAUUCAUUGGGCGUAAAGGGUGCGCAGGCUGUGUGGUAAGUCAGGUGUGAAAUUUAGAGGCUUAAACCUCUAAACUGCACUUGAUACUGCCAUGCGUAGAGGACUGUAGAGGAGAUUAGGAAUUCACGGUGUAGCAGUGAAAUGCGUAGAUAUCGAUGGAGGAAGACCGGUGGGCGAAAGGCGAAUCUCUGGGCAGUUCCUGACGUCGAUGACACGAAGGCCUAGGGGAGCAAACGGG
rnacentral:rRNA from 1 species